AGUGAACGCUGGCGGCGUGCCUAAUACAUGCAAGUCGAACGGAGUGGCGCACGAGGGCGUAAUAUAUAGCUAAUCUGCCCCUAGCUGGCGGACAACAGUUAGAAAUGACUGCUAAUACUCCAUAGCAAGGGAUGAGACUAUAUCGUAUCAGCUAGUCGGUGGGGUAACGGCCUACCGAGGGUAUGACGCGUAACUGGUCUGAGAGGAUGAUCAGUCACAUUGGAACUGAGACACGGUCCAAACUCCUACGGGAGUCAACGAUAGGUAAUACGGCGCAAUCGGGGAGACCCUAACGCAGCAACGGCGCGUGGAGGAUGACACUUUUCGGAGCGUAAGCUCCUUUUGUUAGGGAAGCGGUACCUAACGAGUAAGCACCGGCUAACUUCGUGCCAGCAGCCGCGGUAAUAC
rnacentral:rRNA from 1 species